GUCUAAUGUAAUUUUAUUUUAUUAAAAGUAAAUAAUUAAUUUAAAAAUAGUGAAGAAAUUAAUAUAAAAUAUAGUUAUACCCAAUGAUAGUAAACAUACUGCAAGCGUGCUGGAUGAAAGCCGAAUAAAGAGAGUCAGUACCAAUGAAGGUUCGACAAAGUAUUCUGCUUGAUAUAGGAAAAUUCUCGCUCGUGAUUCAUUCAAAGGCAAAAUAAUAUCAAGAGCGACGGGAAUUAAUGGCAUUAAUUCGUAAGAAAUAGUCGAGCUGUAAAGAAU